CCUACAUUCCCAGUCUGGAGGAAGUUGCCUUAGACAUAUCUUGAGACGGCUUAGAUUAUUUCUGGUCCCGAUGGAUCUGGGAUUACUUGAGGAUAACUGCUAUGAUUUGGACCUGAAGUAACCCUCACAGGUCCAUAAAUUGAAAGUUUGGUCCCCAGUCAGUGCUGCUUCCCCCAGGACCGCUGGGUUCGAACCAGGAGAAGCACUUUAAACACCCAGCAGCACCAGCCAGAAAAAAACUGCGGCCAAACAAGAGCAGAAGAUGGUCCACCACUCCCAUUAGAUGCUACCUCGCUGUAGUAGAUGGUUUUGUGACAAUGGUGGUGAUUUCCCUCCCCUGUAUCUACAAUGGGAUUGAUAACACAUCAAGGAACAGAAUUAUUUCUCCACCCUCUGACCCUUGGCUGGGCCCUUGGUACACGGUGGCCAGCAGAGUGCUGCGGAAAUGCUGAGCCCUUGAGAGCUCCUGCAGAUCCAUUUGCUUCCUGGGAACCUUCCAGGCCAACAAAUAAAUAAGCACAGGAAAGCCUCACUAGAGAAUGAGAGACUACCUGGAGCAGAGAUGAACCAGGUAGAGGCCAUCCCAGGUCAACCAACCACAGAUGCAUGAUUGAGCUCAGCCCUGAUGUGCCAAGUCUGGCUGAUUGGAAGAACUGUCCGGUUGACCCAUGACCUAACUCAAGGUUGUUUUAAGGCAUUGAAUUGUGCAGUAAUUUAUUACACAGUGUCAUGUUUAAAUUUAUGUGUCAACCUGGAGGGUGUUUUUGGAUGAGAUCAACACUUACAAUGGUGAAUUUGGGGUAAAAGAGACUGCCCUCCAAAUUUAGGCAGGCCUUAUCUAAUCAGUUGAAGUCAACUAAAUAAUAGAACAAAAAGAACAGCUACCCCCAGCAAGAGGCAAUUCUCCAGCAGACUGCCUUGGACUUCAUCUGUACCAUCAGCUCCCUGGGGUCUCCACUUGUGGGUGUUUACACUGAACCUGCACCAUUGGCCCUCCUGAGUCUUGAACCUCCUACUUCACUCUGUAGAUUCGUACUAGCCAGCCCCCAUAAU